GAAAUGCGAUAAGUAAUGUGAAUUGCAAAAUUCCGUGAACCAUCAAAUCUUUGAACGCACAUUGCGCUUCCUGGUAUUCCGGGGAGCAUGACUGUUUGAGAAUCAGUACACGAUCGAGUGAGGAAUCACUUGGAGGUGGGGGUCUGCAUAUCAGUAUGCAACACCUGAAAACGAUUGCGAGGACCACGUUUUACAUAGCCCAAGCAGCAAGAUCAAAUUGAAACUGCGAGCAGGGUGACAUGCAGCGUGCAACUCUAGAUAAACACGAGGCAACAACCUCAAGACGUGAUCUCAAAUCAGUCAAGACAACCCGCUGAACUUAA
rnacentral:misc_RNA from 1 species